UGGGGAAUAUUGCACAAUGGGCGCAAGCCUGAUGCAGCCAUGCCGCGUGUAUGAAGAAGGCCUUCGGGUUGUAAAGUACUUUCAGCGGGGAGGAAGGUGUUGUGGUUAAUAACCACAGCAAUUGACGUUACCCGCAGAAGAAGCACCGGCUAACUCCGUGCCAGCAGCCGCGGUAAUACGGAGGGUGCAAGCGUUAAUCGGAAUUACUGGGCGUAAAGCGCACGCAGGCGGUCUGUCAAGUCGGAUGUGAAAUCCCCGGGCUCAACCUGGGAACUGCAUUCGAAACUGGCAGGCUAGAGUCUUGUAGAGGGGGGUAGAAUUCCAGGUGUAGCGGUGAAAUGCGUAGAGAUCUGGAGGAAUACCGGUGGCGAAGGCGGCCCCCUGGACAAAGACUGACGCUCAGGUGCGAAAGCGUGGGGAGCAAACAGG
rnacentral:rRNA from 2 species